rnacentral:rRNA from 1 species
GACCUCGGAUCAGGUAGGAAUACCCGCUGAACUUAAGCAUACUAA